rnacentral:rRNA from 1 species
AGAGUUUGAUCCUGGCACAGGACGAACGCUGGCGGCGUGCUUAACACAUGCAAGUCGAGCGGAAAGGCCCCUUCGGGGGUACUCGAGCGGCGAACGGGUGAGUAACACGUGGGUAACCUGCCCCAAAGCCCGGGAUAACGUUUCGAAAGGAACGCUAAUACCGGAUGUUGUGCACCUGCCAAGCGGGUUGUACCAAAGGUAGCUUCGGCCUCCGCUUUGGGAUGGGCCCGCGCAGCAUUAGCUUGUGGUGGGGAACGGCCUACCAAGGCUACGAUGUUAGCUGGUUGAGAGGACGAUCAGCCACACUGGGACUGAGAUACGGCCCAGACUCCUACGGGAGGCAGCAGUGGGGAAUCUUGGCAAUGGGCGAAAGCCUGACGCAGCAACGCCGCGUGAGCGAAGAAGGCCUUCGGGUUGUAAAGCUCUGUCAGGAGGGACGAAGCCACUCGGGUUAGUAGCCCAGAGGGUGACGGUACCUCCAGAGGAAGGUCCGGCUAACUACGUGCCAGCAGCCGCGGUAAUACGUAGGGACCUAGCGUUGUCCGGAAUUAUUGGGCGUAAAGAGCGUGUAGGCGGCUUGCCAAGUCCGAUGUGAAAACUCGGGGCUUAACCCCGAGCCUGCAUUGG